rnacentral:lncRNA from 1 species
ACUUAGAAUUUGUCUCCAUGUUGUAAGAAACCAUCUAACGGGUGAUCAAGUCGGGACACGGCAAGAGUACACAACAAAUAAAUGUUUUUGAAGUUGCUUCCCCUCCAAUAAAAAAGAUCCAUCACGCCCAUGAAUUGAACCACUAUAUAGUAAAAACCAAUUUGGGUUCGGACAACCUUUUAAGAGGACAACCACCAAUUGCAAUCGGAAUCAGAAGUGGAAAUACUGUUCCGAGAGGCAGCAGAAAAAUGAAGAUCGCCAAAGAACACUUGGGCAGCAGAAAAAUGAAGAUCGCCAAAGAACACUUGAAUUUUUCUCCAUGUUGUAAGAAACCAUAUGCGGGCGAUCAAGUCUAGGACAUGGCAAGAGUACAC